CGGACGUGGAUAACCUGCCUCACACAGGGGAUAACAGUUAGAAAUGACUGCUAAUACCGCAUAAGCGCACGGCAUCGCAUGAUGCAGUGUGAAAAACUCCGGUGGUGUGAGAUGGAUCCGCGUCUGAUUAGGUAGUUGGUGGGGUAACGGCCACCAAGCCGACGAUCAGUAGCCGACCUGAGAGGGUGACCGGCCACAUUGGGACUGAGACACGGCCCAA
rnacentral:rRNA from 1 species